CCCAACCCCACAUUGACAGCCCAAAAGGACGAAGGCAAGGAAGGCAGCAGGUCCGGAUAGAAUCUGCUCCAGACUGCUGCAGGACUGUACAGAACAGCUUUGUCAGUGACAUCAUAUACCUGUGAGGACGCUGAUGAUGGAGCAAAGGUCUCAGAUGCUGAGACAGAUGCGACUGUCUAAAUCUGAUCGGCACAGAGAGGACUAUGCAUCUCUUUAAAAAGAGACCAAGACCAGAGUCAGCCCCAUCCCUCACCCCACCCCACUCCAAACAAACUUUAGAUAAUCUCUCACAUGGAUUUUCAUUUCUGCCCC